GGCCUGACUAUGAAAAAUGUUAAUAAUGGAGAACCAGAAGGUCAGUAUUCAAAGCGUCCGUUGGUGGUCUAGCUGAUCAAUUAAAGAGCUCCCUGAAAAGACAAAGGCAGUGUCCUGCAGGACAAACACCAGCUCCAGAGAUUCUUCACAACCUGCAGCCAUGUUCCUCCACUGGUGACCAUAAACAAUGAGAACAUAAUUAACCUAAAUAUCACGUGCACAUCAUAAUGUGCAUAUCCUUUAUUCCCAUGGAGCCGGAAGGUCCCACAGGUGAAGGGAAGGAAGUGCACGCGGCCCUCGUUGGACGUCCCACAACGCGCUGGAUUCCUGCAAACGUCUUGUGUGCGUCUUCAGAAGGGAAGAAAAAAAGCCUCUCUUUUUAUUUGUCCUUUCAGUCCGAGCUAAAGGGACCGAGGAACAACGUUAAUGGGAUCCAAAGGGAGUCUCUGCUCUUAAACAGGUGGAAAUUGGACGUCCUCGAAUUUUACACAAAUACUCGUCUGGUCUGCGCGCGGGGCGAUGGAGGCGCCUCCCUGUCACCCGGCAGGGCGCUCGGGUGCGCGCUAACGUCGGGGGACGGUGGUCCGCGGCGGAGGGGCGGGCGCUGCCUGCCGACAUGUGACGGCUCCUCCACACCCCAUCCGCCCGUUAAAGAGGCGAACUCCCUUCCCUCGCAUCCACCGGGAGCUCCGUUUAGCAGACUGUUUUCCCUCC
ensembl:lncRNA